UCCGGUUUAACACCGGCGGUCCCCCUAGAGUCCCCAACUUAAUGGUGGUAACUAAGGGCAAGGGUUGCGCUCGUUGCAGGACUUAACCUAACAUCUUACGACACGAGCUGACGACAGCCAUGCAGCACCUAUCACUCUGUCCCCGAAGGGAACACUACAUCUCUGCAGUAAUCAGAGGAUGUUAAGCCCAGGUAAGGUUCUGCGCGUUGCUUCGAAUUAAACCACAUACUCCACCGCUUGUGCGGGCCCCCGUCAAUUCCUUUGAGUUUUAGCCUUGCGACCGUACUCCCCAGGCGGGUUACUUAAUGCGUGAGCUUUGGUACCCAGACGGUUAGACAUCCGGACACCUAGUAACCAUAGUUUACAGCGUGGACUAC
rnacentral:misc_RNA from 1 species